rnacentral:rRNA from 2 species
UGGCGGCGUGCCUAAUACAUGCAAGUCGAACGAACUCUGGUAUUGAUUGGUGCUUGCAUCAUGAUUUACAUUUGAGUGAGUGGCGAACUGGUGAGUAACACGUGGGAAACCUGCCCAGAAGCGGGGGAUAACACCUGGAAACAGAUGCUAAUACCGCAUAACAACUUGGACCGCAUGGUCCGAGCUUGAAAGAUGGCUUCGGCUAUCACUUUUGGAUGGUCCCGCGGCGUAUUACCUAGAUGGUGGGGUAACGGCUCACCAUGGCAAUGAUACGUACCCGACCUGAGAGGGUAAUCGGCCACAUUGGGACUGAGACACGGCCCAAACUCCUACGGGAGGCAGCAGUAGGGAAUCUUCCACAAUGGACGAAAGUCUGAUGGAGCAACGCCGCGUGAGUGAAGAAGGGUUUCGGCUCGUAAAACUCUGUUGUUAAAGAAGAACAUAUCUGAGAGUAACUGUUCAGGUAUUGACGGUAUUUAACCAGAAAGCCACGGCUAACUACGUGCCAGCAGCCGCGGUAAUACGUAGGUGGCAAGCGUUGUCCGGAUUUAUUGGGCGUAAAGCGAGCGCAGGCGGUUUUUAAGUCUGAUGUGAAAGCCUUCGCUCACCGAAGAGUGCAUCGGAAACUGGGAAACUUGAUGCAGAAGAGGACAGUGGA